GCAGUGUCCCGGCUCGUCGCUGGCGUAUUUCAUGACGCGAGAGGAAAGUCCGGGCAGCACAAGGCGCUCCACUUCUGAAAGUAGAAGCUAUUGGCGACAGUAGGUAAAGGCAGAAGAAAAUAACCGCCUCAUCGGAACUAACAGAAUACGUUUUGUUGGGCCAGAGGUAAGGGUGAGAAGGUAGUGUAAGAGACUACCAGCUGGCGGGUGAUCGUCAGGCUGUGCCGUCUGGAGGCUGUAAGUUCAUGUAAACCGUCGUCAUGUCAAGGGUAGCCUGCCCGAUGUGCUUCGAGCACAACGACGGAGGGUAGAACGCUAGAGGUACAGGGUGACCUGUAAGGUAGAUAAAUGACAGAGCUCUCUCCACUUGUGGAGGGAUACAGAACCCGGCUUAUCAGGGCACUGUCUUA
rnacentral:RNase_P_RNA from 1 species